AAUCAACGCUGGCGGCGUGCCUAACACAUGCAAGUCGAACGCCCUAGCAAUAGGGAGUGGCAGACGGGUGAGUAACACGUGGGAACGUGCCUUUCGGUUCGGAAUAACCCAGGGAAACUUGGACUAAUACCGGAUACGUGCGAGAGCAGAAAGAUUUAUCGCCGAAAGAUCGGCCCGCGUCCGAUUAGUUAGUUGGUGAGGUAAUGGCUCACCAAGGCGACGAUCGGUAGCUGGUCUGAGAGGAUGAUCAGCCACACUGGGACUGAGACACGGCCCAGACUCCUACGGGAGGCAGCAGUGGGGAAUAUUGGACAAUGGGCGCAAGCCUGAUCCAGCCAUGCCGCGUGAGUGAUGAAGGCCCUAGGGUUGUAAAGCUCUUUCGCCAGGGACGAUAAUGGACGGUACCUGGAUAAGAAGCCCCGGCUAACUUCGUGCCAGCCGCCGCGGUAAC
rnacentral:rRNA from 1 species